AUUGAACGCUGGCGGCGUGCUUUACACAUGCAAGUCGAACGGCAGCACAGACUUCGGUCUGGUGGCGAGUGGCGAACGGGUGAGUAAUACAUCGGAACGUACCUUUUAGUUGGGGAUAACGCAUCGAAAGAUGUGCUAAUACCGAAUAAUCUCUGAGGAGGAAAGGCGGGGAUCGGAAACGACCUGUCGCUGAAAGAGCGGCCGAUGGCCGAUUAGCUAGUUGGCGGGGUAAAGGCCUACCAAGGCGAUGAUCGGUAGCUGUUCUGAGAGGAAGAUCAGCCACACUGGGACUGAGACACGGCCCAGACUCCUACGGGAGGCAGCAGUGGGGAAUUUUGGACAAUGGGGGCAACCCUGAUCCAGCAACGCCGCGUGAAUGAAGAAGGCCUUAGGGUUGUAAAGUUCUUUUGUCGCAGAGCAAAAUGCUUGUACUAAUACUAUGAGUAGAUGAGAGUAUGCGAAGAAUAAGCACCGGCUAACUACGUGCCAGCCGCCGCCGUAA
rnacentral:rRNA from 1 species